rnacentral:rRNA from 1 species
CUAUGACGGGUAUCCGGCCUGAGAGGGUGAUCGGACACACUGGAACUGAGACACGGUCCAGACUCCUACGGGAGGCAGCAGUAGGGAAUAUUGCUCAAUGGGCGCAACCCUGAAGCAGCAACGCCGCGUGGAGGAUGAAGGUUUUAGGAUUGUAAACUCCUUUUGUGAGAGAAGAUAAUGACGGUAUCUAACGAAUAAGCACCGGCUAACUCCGUGCCAGCAGCCGCGGUAAUACGGAGGGUGCAAGCGUUACUCGGAAUCACUGGGCGUAAAGAGCGCGUAGGCGGGAUAGCAAGUCAGAUGUGAAAUCCUAUGGCUUAACCAUAGAACUGCAUUUGAAACUACAACCCUAGAGUAUGGGAGAGGUAGGUGGAAU